AAUGUACUCUCUCCGUUUAAAAAUACUUGUCAUUAAAAUGGAUAAAAAGAGAUAUAUAUAAAACUAAAAUAUGUCUAAAUACAUCUUUUUCAUUCAUUUUGAUGAUAAGUAUUUCCGGGCGGAGGGAGUAGUAC
rfam:Triticum aestivum genome assembly, contig: Triticum_aestivum_CS42_TGACv1_scaffold_130477_2BL